rnacentral:rRNA from 1 species
AGUGAACGCUGGCGGCGUGCUUAACACAUGCAAGUCGAACGAUGAAGUCCUGGAGUGGAUUAGUGGCGCACGGGUGGAGUAUACUAUAGAUAAUGUGCCCCUUAGUCUGGGAUAGCCACUGGAAACGGUGAUUAAUACUAGAUACUCCUUCUUAUCAUAAGGUAAGUUGGGAAAGUUUUUUCGCUAAGGGAUCGGUCUAUAUCCUAUCAGUUAGUUGGUGAGGUAACGGCUCACCAAGGCGAUGACGGGUAGCGGGUCUGAGAGGAUGAUCCGCCACACUGGUACUGAGACACGGACCAGACUCCUACGGGAGGCAGCAGUGAGGAAUAUUGCACAAUGGGGGAAACCCUGAUGCAGCAACGCCGCGUGGAGGAUGACGCAUUUCGGUGUGUAAACUCCUUUUAUGAGUCAAGAAAAUGACGGUAGCUCAUGAAUAAGCACCGGCUAACUCCGUGCCAGCAGCCG